rnacentral:rRNA from 1 species
CGCUGGCGGCGUGCUUAAUACAUGCAAGUCAACUUGACUUUAGAUAGCAAUAUCGAAAAGUAGGGUGGCGCACGGGUGCGUAACGCGUAGGUAAUCUGCCCUGAGGUCUGACAUAACCCGUCGAAAGGCGGGCUAACAUCAGAUGAUAUAUAAUCACGACAUCGUGGAAAUAUCAAAUCUUCGGAGCCUUGGGAUGAGCCUGCGUCUGAUUAGGUAGUUGGCGGAGUAACAGCCCACCAAGCCUACGAUCAGUAGCUGGUCUGAGAGGAUGAUCAGCCACACUGGAACUGAGACACGGUCCAGACUCCUACGGGAGGCAGCAGUAAGGAAUAUUGCUCAAUGGGGGAAACCCUGAAGCAGCAACGCCGCGUGAAGGAUGAAAUACUUUUGUAUGUAAACUUCUGUAAGAUGGGAAAAAUAUUCUCCUCGGGAGAAUUGAUUGUACCAUCAGAGUAAGCCCCGGCUAACUACGUG